rnacentral:lncRNA from 1 species
UCUUGCCAAAGGCUUAUGUGCGAGAUCAUCUUACAGCUGCUUUGAAUCACUUAUUAUCUAGCAGACAAAUGUCAUUACUGCAGCGAAAAUAAUGGUUCGAGUCAUGUCCUCACGUGCUUGGCAUUUCGUGACAAUAUAGUCGGCAAUGGCUUUAAGCCUCUCCCGGAUAAGACCCUUCUCUUGAAGUAAGCGCCUGAUUUUUUGAGUUCGAGCUUCUAGCACCUGAGUGUCAUGAUGGCUUUGACUCUGUAACUAUUGUAUAUCUUCCUCAAUCUAGGCCAUCAAAGUAUAACAAUAAUCCCUAUCGGCUUUAAAUUCUUUAGCCUGUUUAGUUGCCUCAUUCUCAAGGGUAGUUAGCUUUUUCCUCAGAUUGGUGAAUGUCCCCUCAUAUUUCCUUUUCAUUUGUUGCACAAACUCUGCCUACCCUACUGCAUUCUUUGCCAGUUGGCUCAGACUCUUUCUAAACUGGCUUUAGAUUUCUCCAAGUCAUCUUUACAUUCAAGUACAUUCUUGACCACUUAUAAGCCUUUUAUCUGCCUGAUUCCUCUCUUAGUUCCUACCAGUUGUUUUCACCUUUUGGAUCUGAGCUUCAAGGGCUUCAUUCCCCUGUGCUUGCUUCUUCUUUUCCCCUUCAUCUACGACAUCUUGGACACUGUUCUCAAAUUUAAGGUCCGUGAUUUGUCCCUCUAGUUUACUUAACUUGGUCGUAUAGCUUGCUUCUUUUGUCAACCAGUCCCACUACUCCCGCGAGUCGUUAGUGGAUUGUUGGACAUAGGGUCUCUUAGCAGGUCUCUCGGGCUCUCGAGAGAUUUGGAACCUUUUACCGUACCAAUUUAUGUAAUUGGGGUAUACCUCCCCCCUAGCUAAAUCAUGCAUCAGUCAUAGGUUCUAAAAAUUUGCAUUCGUUCCAAACUUGACGGACUCUUCCUUCUGGGAACACAGCCUUUGGGCCCAAUUCAACGACUUGUUCACUUAGAUCUUCGUCAUGGUGAAUCGUUUGAAAUCUGCCUACUUGGAGCAAAACUCGGUGAGGAGCAUAUGGUUGAAUGCUCCAAUGACCAACCAGAAAACAUAGCAUACUUUAGCUGACAUAUAUAUGACUUCAGUGACAGGGAGCCAUCCAAAAUUCCACUCAAUUUUGUUCGAAGACAAAGAAAUAAAACUUGCAAACCAAGCCUCUCUACUCUCCGGAAAUUCAACACCCACCAUUUGGUUUUCGAACUCUUCGAUGCAAUUCAAACCAAUCAUGCCGUAGUUCAUAUACCCGACAAGGUGACAGAGAUGUUCUUGUGUCCACAAUUGUAGGAGCAGUUUAAAACCUCGAAAGAAUCUUUCCCCUCCUCGGCAUAUGGUCAAAUAUCGAAACAUUUAACAUAAGAUCAUCAGAAUCAGGGUGCCCUUAGCUUUCCUGAUCAAGACAUCAACCAUUCCCACGAGACCCAAUUCGAUGGUGUCGUCUUUCCCGUCAUGCCUCCCAUUUGUCUUUGUUUCCUGCAUAAGUUAGCCAGUAUUCGGUGCUUCAAAACCUUGGGGAUUUCCAUAGUGCUGAUACAAUAAUUGAAAAGUGCAAAACACUUCGGAUAAGUUCGUAACCUAAAUUUCCCAACUUAUGCUCAAUAUAUCUAGAAACUUGUGGGGAGAUACUGUUCUUGGUGACACCAGGCACCGACUUCUAAGAUUUCCGCUAAGGCCAGCAUCACCCAGAAUUUCUUCUAGAGUGGGGGUAAGCUCAAAUCAGAAAGCGAAACACAUUGUGGUUUGGAUCCCAAAAUGGUAGCAAAGCUUCAAUCACAUCCAAUCUUGGCUUGAAUUUCAAAUGUCUGACAAGACCACCCAAAACGUUAACCAGAGUCCCUCGGUUGCCUUUCCCUAUGUCGUUCCACCACAUAUGGAGCUGUAAGGGCAUUUCCUCAAGAGCUCCGGAGGGUUCAUUUUCAUUUGUGCUAAUCCUGCACAUUUAGUAAGGUGAUUCAAUUAAAAGAUCAUGAUUCAUUUUUACUCGAGAAAACGUUAAAACUUAUUUUAAUUUUCAUAAAAAUCUGGCUUCGCAAAUACGGUCUUUCAGCACUUCGGGGAUAAAGAUUUUAAGGUUGUGUCUGCUGGCUAGCCAAAACUUUGAAGGAGCGACCAAAGGUAGUUGUUCUUGCAAAAACAGCCUUUUGGCGCCCUUUUGGGGACAUUCGGCUAUUUCAAAUAAGAAUGCCAUCACCUUACUUAUAAAAAAAAUAAGAUUUUGUUCUUUUUGGGCUAUUU